UGGUUUAACUAGUGGACCUGUCUCUGCUCAUAAUUUUUGUGAAAGAAAUUUUUACUCUAUUUAUAAUCAAUCAUGACAGUACAAAUAACACUGGAUAGUAAAAAUUACAAUUAGGUUCAUGGAUCACCUAACGACGAUUACAAGGAUUGGAGAAAGCCAAAGUCGCACCGUUGUCAUCGCUCCUUUCUCAUCGGAGCCGGACGAACUUUGUAAUAUGACGAUUAGUGCACCAGUGCACAAAUCAUCACCGAUGAAGAGAGUCGUACGUCGAAAGGGUAAAACCUAUAAAAGCUCAAACAGAGACCGGAUCCAAACCGAUCCACUGAAGACCAACCCCUGACAGAUUGCCGUGAGAUCCGACCGAGACAUGCCCCGAC
rnacentral:lncRNA from 1 species